rnacentral:rRNA from 1 species
CGCAUCUGUGCAUGUAGCAUAUCAAUAAGCGGAGGAAAAGAAACUAACAAGGAUUCCCCUAGUAACGGCGAGUGAAGCGGGAAGAGCUCAAAUUUGAAAUCUUAAAGGGUUUCCCUUUACGAAUUGUAGUUUAAAGAAGUGUUUUCUGUUGAGGUUUUGGUAAGAGUUCUUUGGAAUAGGACAUCAUAGAGGGUGAGAAUCCCGUAUUUGACCUUUACUUUCAACUUUGUGAUACACUUUCAAAGAGUCGGAUUGUUUGGGAAUGCAGUCCAAAAUGGGUGGUAAAUUUCAUCUAAAGCUAAAUAUUGGCGAGAGACCGAUAGCGAACAAGUACCGUGAGGGAAAGAUGAAAAGAACUUUGAAAAGAGAGUUAAACAGUACGUGAAAUUGUCAAAAGGGAAGCGUUUGACACCAGUGUUGUUUUUCUGAAAAUCAAUUAAAGAACUGUUUAUGCUAAGUUGUUUAGACUUUAGUCAGCUAACUGUUUAGUUUUGAGCUUUUCUUUAAUGCACUUUUCAGUUAACAGGUCAACAUCAAUUUCUUUUGCUGUAAAAAAGCUUGAGGAAGGUGGCUUGAGAUUCGUCUUAAGUGUUUAUAGCCUCUUGCCUAUGCAGUCGGAGAGAUUGAGGUCUGCAGCGUAGAUCCUUCGGGGCUAAAUGCAUUUGUGCUAAGUUAUAGCAUUUUAUAGACAACUUGUUGACUAUGAUUUGUCUUGUAACUUACUCGCUUAUGUUAUUUUACCUACGCUUAGGAUGUUGACAGCAGUAUAGACUGU